rnacentral:lncRNA from 1 species
GACAAAGAUAGGAUCCUUCAGCAGAAGGAGGCCGAGUUGCGUCGUAUGCAGGAGAUGAUCGCUCAAAUGCAAGCCCAGAUGAGGAUGAAACCUGCAGACGAGUAAGGAGGCAUCCUAAGAGUUUGACAAUAAUAGGUGAACCUUCACACCGAAUAACCAGGAUGGAGAAGACUUUUGGCUUUCGAUUGGGAGACUUUUGGCUUCAACCAAACUGGGAACAGGUUUUUUCCCCCCUUUCUCCACACCCUGGAAGAAUAGUAAAUUAAAAUUUGGGGGGGGAAAACUCCUCCCACUUAUAGCUCUACCCAGGAAGCUGUUGGCGAUUGGCUGGCCGUCUAUUUCAAACCAAUGCUGGGCGGAAGCGUCCUGAAGAAGCCAUUUAAUCUUCAUUUGCUUCCUGAAGAAGCCUGUUUUCUAACAGAAAAAAAAUAAAACCUCUUUUCCAAAACA